GAUGAACGCUGGCGGCGUGCCUGAUACAUGCAAGUCGAGCGAACAGACGAGGAGCUUGCUCCUCUGACGUUAGCGGCGGACGGGUGAGUAACACGUGGAUAACCUACCUAUAAGACUGGGAUAACUUCGGGAAACCGGAGCUAAUACCGGAUAAUAUAUUGAACCGCAUGGUUCAAUAGUGAAAGACGGUUUUGCUGUCACUUAUAGAUGGAUCCGCGCCGCAUUAGCUAGUUGGUAAGGUAACGGCUUACCAAGGCGACGAUGCGUAGCCGACCUGAGAGGGUGAUCGGCCACACUGGAACUGAGGCACGGUCCAGACUCCUACGGGAGGCAGCAGUAGGGAAUCUUCCGCAAUGGGCGAAAGCCUGACGGAGCAACGCCGCGUGAGUGAUGAAGGUCUUCGGAUCGUAAAACUCUGUUAUUAGGGAAGAACAAAUGUGUAAGUAACUAUGCACGUCUUGACGGUACCUAAUCAGAAAGCCACGGCUAACUACGUG
rnacentral:rRNA from 1 species